GGUCGAGGCCUUUUGCAAGAUGGCUGAAGGCACGCUGAAGGCGUCGCUGCCAGGGAGGCUAUUCACUUUAUUGCUAGUAUUCAGGUUGAUCCAGGGGUAUGACGUGGAGGCCCAGCUCUCCCAGAACCGGUCAUAAUUGUCUGUUGGAUAUCUUCACAGAGACAAGGAAAAACAGAUUUAUAGCUAGCAUAGCACAAUAAUCUUUUGGACUUUGGUUAAAGGCACUUGCUAUGAGAUUUAGCAAUCGCAGCUUAUUUAUCGCCUUGAGAUUUACUAUUGCUUUUGUUAGAAGCAAUUGCAGGGUUCAGAAAGCAAAGGAGUAAACACUUUAAGUGAGUUGAGCUAGUCAGAGGAAUUUAAAACCAUUGACAUGUAUUAUUAAGAUCUUAUCAAACACUAUUAUACCAGUGUGAUCUGAUCUCACCUUGUGAUAAAGUCGGUGAUGUUGCCAAAUCUGAUUCGUCUAAAGUAGCUUAUUGACACAGAAGUGUUGACAAAAGGGUACAUGGUUUCUUGCAGGGGCCUAAGCUCCAACGAAGAUAUGAAUGGAGUUCCGGAACCAAAGUUUAUCAGACAGACGGACACGGAGUUGUCCGGAGCAACAGUGAGCACCUCCUUCCAUACUGUGAGUGAUGGAUCCCAAUUUGUCAAGUUCACCGCUUCCCAGAAAUUGACACCGAUAUGCAGCCCAAACAGAAACAGUGACCCGUCUCCAGUCUUGUUCAACCUAUCAUAGUUGCCGUAAGUAAAUGUGGCCCUCAGUAGAUACUUCUUACCGAUGGUGGAUGGCAGUGUAUAGCAAUUUCUUGAGCCGUCAGGGAAGCUCCUCAGGGUUUUUUGUUGGUCAUUCCCGACACCAGCCACGAACUCUGGUAAAAUCUCGUGGUUCAGGCCGCCCUCGACAAAUUCACCAUCAAAACUGUACACUAUUGCUAAGGUGUUGUCGAUGUAGGCACUACUGUUUUUCCAUCCACAGUCGAUGUUUAUGAACCCUGCAUAAUCGAGAAUGGAGCAGAGCAUAAAGAGGAGCAGGACCUAGAAGGAAAAAGGUAGGAGGAUAUGGCUUGUAUUACCAGAUUGGCCGUGGACUUGAAUCAUCAUCACCAGGAUGAGCAGCAGCACCAUGAUCCAUGUCAGUUUUCUACUUUCUGAGGAAAUGAAGGUGAUCACCAUGGUACUGUUCUGUUCUCUUCUCCCAAAGUCUGCAAACAAGAAACAGUUGCUACGAGUGACUUGGGAAGCUAUAUAGCAGAGGAUAACAACUAGCACGGUUUAGUAUUCUUUUAUUGAGCAGAUGUAAAGAAAUCGAGUGUGUUUUGUCCUUAAGUAGGUAACCUGCUCUUAAUAGAAAUGCAACUUGCAUUGAUCUAAUGAAAAAUAGGGACUGCCAUGGAGUUUCGUUUAACAAUCGCCGCCA